UGGGAACGUACCCUUUGGUUCGGAACAACCCAGGGAAACUUGGGCUAAUACCGGAUAAGUCCGUAAGGAGAAAGAUUUAUCGCCAAAGGAUCGGCCCGCGUCUGAUUAGCUAGUUGGUAGGGUAAUGGCCUACCAAGGCUACGAUCAGUAACUGGUCUGAGAGGAUGAUCAGCCACAUUGGGACUGAGACACGGCCCAAACUCCUACGGGAGGCAG
rnacentral:rRNA from 1 species